AGUGAACGCUGGCGGUAGGCCUAGCACAUGCAAGUCGAACGGCAGCACAGUAAGAGCUUGCUCUUACGGGUGGCGAGUGGCGGACAGGUGAGGAAUACAUCGGAAUCUACUUUUUCGUGGGGGAUAACGUAGGGAAACUUACGCUAAUACCGCAUACGACCUACGGGUGAAAGCAGGGGAUCUUCGGACCUUGCGCGAUUGAAUGAGCCGAUGUCGGAUUAGCUAGUUGGCGGGGUAAAGGCCCACCAAGGCGACGAUCCGUAGCUGGUCUGAGAGGAUGAUCAGCCACACUGGAACUGAGACACGGUCCAGACUCCUACGGGAGGCAGCAGUGGGGAAUAUUGGACAAUGGGCGCAAGCCUGAUCCAGCCAUACCGCGUGGGUGAAGAAGGCCUUCGGGUUGUAAAGCCCUUUUGUUGGGAAAGAAAAGCAGCAGGUUAAUACCCCGCUGUUCUGACGGUACCCAAAGAAUAAGCACCGGCUAACUUCGUG
rnacentral:rRNA from 1 species